CUUGCACCUUUCAAGCGAGUGGCGAACGGGUGAGUAACACGUGGAUAACCUGCCUCAAGGCUGGGGAUAACAUUUGGAAACAGAUGCUAAUACCGAAUAAAACUUAGUAUCGCAUGAUACAAAGUUGAAAGGCGCUACGGCGUCACCUAGAGAUGGGUCCGCGGUGCAUUAGUUAGUUGGUGGGGUAAAGGCCUACCAAGACAAUGAUGCAUAGCCGAGUUGAGAGACUGAUCGGCCACAUUGGGACUGAGACACGGCCCAAACUCCUACGGGAGGCUGCAGUAGGGAAUCUUCCACAAUGGGCGAAAGCCUGAUGGAGCAACGCCGCGUGUGUGAUGAAGGCUUUAGGGUCGUAAAGCACUGUUGUAUGGGAAGAAAUGCUAGAAUAGGGAAUGAUUCUAGUUCGACGGUACCAUACCAGAAAGGGACGGCUAAAUACGUGCCAGCAGCCGCGGUAAUACGUAUGUCCCGAGCGUUAUCCGGAUUUAUUGGGCGUAAAGCGAGCGCAGACGGUUGAUUAAGUCUGAUGUGAAAGCCCGGAGCUCAACUCCGGAAUGGCAUUGGAAACUGGUUAACUUGAGUGUUGUAGAGGUAAGUGGAACUCCUGGUGAUACGGG
rnacentral:rRNA from 1 species